UGGGGAAUAUUGCGCAAUGGGGGGAACCCUGACGCAGCAACGCCGCGUGAAGGAUGAAGGUUUUCGGAUCGUAAACUUCUUUGAUGAGGGACGAAGAAUGACGGUACCUCAAAAACAAGCCACGGCUAACUACGUGCCAGCAGCCGCGGUAAUACGUAGGUGGCGAGCGUUGUCCGGAAUUACUGGGUGUAAAGGGCGUGUAGGCGGGGAUGCAAGUCAGAUGUGAAAUACCGAAGCUUAACUUCGGGGCUGCAUCUGAAACUGUAUUUCUUGAGUGUCGGAGAGGAAAGUGGAAUUCCCAGUGUAGCGGUGAAAUGCGUAGAUAUUGGGAGGAACACCAGUGGCGAAGGCGACUUUCUGGACGAUAACUGACGCUGAGGCGCGAAAGCGUGGGGAGCAA
rnacentral:rRNA from 1 species